GGGGCGGUGGCAGAGUCUGGCCCAAUGCACCGGAUUGCAAAUCCGUAAAACCGUCGGUUCAAAUCCGACCCGUCCUUCCA
rnacentral:tRNA from 1 species